GUGCCAGCAGCCGCGGUAAUACGUAGGGAGCGAGCGUUAUCCGGAAUUAUUGGGCGUAAAGGGUGCGUAGAUGGCAAUGAAAGUUUCUUGUUAAAUAGCUAAGCUCAACUUAGCUCUGCAAGGGAUACUACAUAGCUAGAGUAUGGAAGAGGCAAGUGGAACUCCAUGUGUAGCGGUAAAAUGCGUAAAUAUAUGGAAGAACACCAGUGGCGAAGGCGGCUUGCUGGUCCGAUACUGACAUUGAGGCACGAAAGCGUGGGGAGCAAACAGGAUUAGAUACCCUGGUAGUCCACGCCCUAAACGAUGAGUACUAAGUGUUGGCGCAAGUCAGUGCUGAAGUUAACGCAUUAAGUACUCCGCCUGAGUAGUACGUACGCAAGUAUGAAACUUAAAGGAAUUGACGGGAGCCCGCACAAGCGGUGGAGCAUGUUGUUUAAUUCGACGAUACGCGAAGAACCUUACCAGGUCUUGACAUCUCUUGCAAGUCUAUGGAGACAUAGAGGAGGUUAGCAGGAAGACAGGUGGUGCAUGGUUGUCGUCAGCUCGUGUCGUGAGAUGUUGGGUUAAGUCCCGCAACGAGCGCAACCCUUAUUGCUAGUUACUAACAUUAAGUUGAGGACUCUAGCAAGACUGCCAGUGAUAAAUUGGAGGAAGGUGGGGAUGACGUCAAAUCAUCAUGCCCUUUAUGACCUGGGCUACAAACGUGCUACAAUGGCUGAAACAAAGAGAACCGAAGCAGUGAUGUGGAGGGAACCUCAUAAAAACAGUCUCAGUUCGGAUUGAAGUCUGCAACUCGACUUCAUGAAGUUGGAAUCGCUAGUAAUCGCGAAUCAGAAUGUCGCGGUGAAUACGUUCUCGGGCUUUGUACACACCGCCCGU
rnacentral:rRNA from 1 species